CCUACGGGUGGCAGCAGUGGGGAAUAUUGCACAAUGGGCGAAAGCCUGAUGCAGCAACGCCGCGUGAGCGAUGAAGGCCUUCGGGUCGUAAAGCUCUGUCCUCAAGGAAGAGAAUGACGGUACGUGAGGAGGAAGCCCCGGCGAACGACGUGCCAGCAGCCGCGGUAAUACGUAGGGGGCGAGCGUUAUCCGGAAUUACUGGGCGUAAAGGGUGCGGAGGUGGUUUCGUAAGUCAGAGGUUAAAGGCUACGGCUCAACCGUAGUCAGCCUUUGAUACUGGGGAACUUGAGUGCAGGAGGGGCGAGUGGACUUCCUGGUGUAGCGGUGAACUGCGUCGAUAUUAGGAGGAACCCCAGUUGCGAAGGCGGCUCUCUGGACUGUACCUGCCACUGAGGCACG
rnacentral:rRNA from 1 species